rnacentral:rRNA from 1 species
AUACGGAGGGUGCGAGCGUUAAUCGGAAUUACUGGGCGUAAAGCGUACGUAGGCGGUUGGUUAAGUUAGAUGUGAAAGCCCCGGGCUUAACCUGGGAACUGCAUUUAAAACUGACGAACUAGAGUUGAGUAGAGGGGAGUGGAAUUUCAGGUGUAGCGGUGAAAUGCGUAGAGAUCUGAAGGAACACCAGUGGCGAAGGCGACUCCCUGGACUCGAACUGACGCUGAGGUACGAAAGCGUGGGUAGCAAACGGGAUUAGAUACCCCAGUAGUCC